rnacentral:tRNA from 1 species
UCCCUGGUAGCUCAGAUGGUAAAGCUUCUACCUGCAAUGCAGGAGACCCAGGUUCAAUCCCUGGGUUGGGAA